GCAUAUCAAUAAGCGGAGGAAAAGAAACCAACAGGGAUUGCCCCAGUAACGGCGAGUGAAGCGGCAACAGCUCAAAUUUGAAAUCUGGCUCUCGGGCCCGAGUUGUAAUUUGUAGAGGAUGCUUUUGGUGAGGUGCCUUCCGAGUUCCCUGGAACGGGACGCCAUAGAGGGUGAGAGCCCCGUCUGGUUGGACRCCGAWCCUCUGUAAAGCUCCUUCGACGAGUCGAGUAGUUUGGGAAUGCUGCUCUAAAUGGGAGGUAUAUGUCUUCUAAAGCUAAAUACCGGCCAGAGACCGAUAGCGCACAAGUAGAGUGAUCGAAAGAUGAAAAGAACUUUGAAAAGAGAGUUAAACAGUACGUGAAAUUGUUGAAAGGGAAGCGCUUGUGACCAGACUUGGGCUUGGUUGAUCAUCCGGGGUUCUCCCCGGUGCACUCUUCCGGCYCAGGCCAGCAUCAGUUCGCCCUGGGGGAUAAAGGCWUCGGGAAYGUGGCUCUCUCCGGGGAGUGUUAUAGCCCGYUGCGUAAUACCCUGYGGCGGACUGAGGUUCGCGCAUUCGCAAGGAUGCUGGCGUAAUGGUCAUCAGUGACCCGUCUUGAAACACGGACC
rnacentral:rRNA from 1 species